GCUCAUUAAAUCAGUUAUCGUUUAUUUGAUAGUACCUUACUACUUGGAUAACCGUGGUAAUUCUAGAGCUAAUACAUGCUAAAAACCUCGACUUCGGAAGGGGUGUAUUUAUUAGAUAAAAAACCAAUGCCCUUCGGGGCUCCUUGGUGAUUCAUAAUAACUUAACGAAUCGCAUGGCCUUGUGCCGGCGAUGGUUCAUUCAAAUUUCUGCCCUAUCAACUUUCGAUGGUAGGAUAGUGGCCUACCAUGGUUUCAACGGGUAACGGGGAAUUAGGGUUCUAUUCCGGAGAGGGAGCCUGAGAAACGGCUACCACAUCCAAGGAAGGCAGCAGGCGCGCAAAUUACCCAAUCCCGACACGGGGAGGUAGUGACAAUAAAUACUGAUACAGGGCUCUUUUGGGUCUUGUAAUUGGAAUGAGUACAAUUUAAAUCCCUUAACGAGGAACAAUUGGAGGGCAAGUCUGGUGCCAGCAGCCGCGGUAAUUCCAGCUCCAAUAGCGUAUAUUAAAGUUGUUGCAGUUAAAAAGCUCGUAGUUGAACCUUGGGCCUGGCUGGCCGGUCCGCCUCACCGCGUGCACUGGUCCGGCCGGGUCUUUCCUUCUGGGGAGCCGCAUGCCCUUCACUGGGUGUGUCGGGGAACCAGGACUUUUACUUUGAAAAAAUUAGAGUGUUCAAAGCAGGCCUAUGCUCGAAUACAUUAGCAUGGAAUAAUAGAAUAGGACGUGUGGUUCUAUUUUGUUGGUUUCUAGGACCGCCGUAAUGAUUAAUAGGGAUAGUCGGGGGCAUCAGUAUUCAAUUGUCAGAGGUGAAAUUCUUGGAUUUAUUGAAGACUAACUACUGCGAAAGCAUUUGCCAAGGAUGUUUUCAUUAAUCAGUGAACGAAAGUUAGGGGAUCGAAGACGAUCAGAUACCGUCGUAGUCUUAACCAUAAACUAUGCCGACUAGGGAUCGGGCGAUGUUAU
rnacentral:rRNA from 1 species